rnacentral:rRNA from 1 species
ACGAGCUCUCCAAACGUUAUUCGGUAUCACUGGGCUUAAAGAGUUCGUAGGCGGUCUGGUAGGUGAGGUGUGAAAUCCCCCGGCUCAACCGGGGAACUGCGCUUCAAACCGCCGGACUUGAGGGAGACAGAGGUGGGCGGAACAGAUGGUGGAGCGGUGAAAUGCGUUGAUAUCAUCUGGAACACCGGUGGCGAAAGCGGCCCACUGGGUCUUUUCUGACGCUGAGGAACGAAAGCUAGGGUAGCGAACGGGAUUAGAUACCCCGGUAGUCCUAGCCGUAAACGAUGAGCACUAGCCCGUGGGGACCCUCACAUCCUCUCGGGCGUAGCGAAAGUGUUAAGUGCUCCGCCUGGGGAGUAUGGUCGCAAGGCUG